rnacentral:piRNA from 1 species
UCUUCACAGACCAGUGAGUCCUCAGCUGA